rnacentral:tRNA from 1 species
GCCGAGGUGGUGGAACUGGUAGACACGCUACCUUGAGGUGGUAGUGUCCAAUUGGACUUACGGGUUCAAGUCCCGUCCUCGGUACCA